UACGUAGGGGGGCUAGCGUUGUCCGGAAUCAUUGGGCGUAAAGCGCGCGUAGGCGGCCCCGGUAAGUCCGUUUGUGAAAGUCAAAGGCUCAACCUUUGAAAGCCGAUGGAUACUGCCGGGCUGGAGUCCGGAAGAGGCGAGUGGAAUUCCUGGUGUAGCGGUGGAAUGCGCAGAUAUCAGGAGGAACACCAAUAGCGAAGGCAGCUCGCUGGGACGGUACUGACGCUGAGGCGCGAAAAGCGUGGGGGAGCGAACAGG
rnacentral:rRNA from 1 species